rfam:Streptomyces pratensis ATCC 33331, complete genome.
CGGACAGGGGGGUUCCUGCCCCUGGGCAGGGCCUGUCCGAACCGGCUGCGCAGACGCGCGGCCAGUGGUUGUCGCUCGGGGGUGAUCGCCG